GCCGUAUAGUGCCAUCGACCGCACCAC
rnacentral:sRNA from 1 species